rnacentral:lncRNA from 1 species
AGAUGCUUCCCUGUCCCUUCCUUCCUACAACAAUUGUGAAAUGACUUACAAAGAAACAGUUCUGUUUCCUGUAUUAUAGGAACUUCUUGUCCCUUGAAAAUGUUGUUUUUGCUCCAGAGGAAAUGGGUUGGUUUGGCAUGGAAGAGGAAAAGCUCCCCUCCCAGGACCCUAAGUGCCACGGAAGCAGCUGUCUCCGCUGGAAACCAGAGUCCCUACCAACCCAGGAUGUGCCUUCCCGCCACACCAGGAUGUCUGCCUGCCACUCCCCCAGUGGGAGGAAGAGAUCUACUCCAUCCACAAGUUCAAGAUAAGAAAGACCCCUGACUUCUUCUCAAGAUCCAGAACAUUGCUUGACAGAAAUAUUCACCAUUUAGAAAUGAUCCAGCAGAGACUAGGGGGAGCACCACCAGAUUCUACUUCAAAGAAAUCCUGUCAGCAGAAGAUUAAAGAAGGAGUAAAGACCUGUGGCUCUUACGCUGUGACAAUUCUGUUUAAGGAAAAGCUGUUUUGCCAAAGGCAAGUGUGGAGUGUGGAAUAGGGUGCUUUUCACAUGUCCAUCAUGCCAUCCCCCAAGUGCCACCAAGUAUUCUUGCCUCUACAAAAGCAAAGCCAAAUGGGGCAUCUUUCUGUGACCUCAGUACCCGCCA